CGGGACUUCCACAGGCCCCGCCCAGCGCCCCUCCGCCCGUCUUCCCGCGGACCAGAGCGCAGUCACCUACUUCCUCAACAAUCGUUCAUAACGCGCUGAUAAUAGCAGGGACCCUGCUGAAUGUGUCACCUGCAUCCUGCUGAUGCAUAUGCUCACCUCUGGAGCACAGGUGAGGUCUUAAGUGACCACAAAAGAAGGACCAGACAGAGUAACAAAGAGAACUCCUCCUUUAGGAUUGUUGAGACAGGACGCUCUGUGGGCUCCAGCCCCAACGGCAGCUCACGUGGAAGAAGAGGAGAGAUCCAUCUCCACCCCUCCUGAAAACCCUGAAAGAUACUCCAUUGUCUGGAAGGACCACCAUUUACUCAUCCGCCUACUGAAGGAUGCCUUGGUUGCUCCCAAGAUUUGUCAAUUAUGAAAAAAGCUGCUAUAAAUAUCCAUGUACAGGUUUGGGUGUGGAUAUAAACUUUCAGCUCCCUUGGGUAAAUAUCAAGGAGUGUGAUUGCUGGAUCACACGGUAAGAACAGGCUUAGUUUUGUAAGAAAUAGUCAAACUGUCUUCCAAAGUGGCUUUCCCAUUCCGUAUUCCUGCUAGCAAUGAAUGAGUUUCCUGUUGCCCCACAUCAUCUGCAGCAUUUGGUGCUGUCAGUGUUCCAGAAUUUGGCCUCUCUAAAAUGUGGGUAAUGGUAUCUCAUUGUUGUUUUAAUUUUCCUUUCCCUGAUGGUAUAUUACGUGGAACAACUUUUAUGUUUGUUUACCAUCUAAAUAUCUUCUUUGGUGAGAUAUCUGUGAAGAUCUUUGACCCAUUUUCUAAUUGGGAUGUUUGUUUUCUUAUUGUUGAGUUUAAGUGUUCUUUCUAUAUUUAGUGCCUUGUAUAAUAGUGCCUUAUCAAAUAUGCCUUUUGCAAAUAUUUUCUCCCAAUCUGUGGCUUGUCUUCUCAGUUUCUUGAUGAAUGUUCAGUUUUAAAAAUUUAAUCUAAUUUUACAAGUAAUACAAAAAUUUAUUUUCUGUGGGGGAAAAACAAUGAAACGGUACAAAAUCUGCCUUGAUUUUUAUCCUCUGAGUCCACUCUCACCACAGCCCACGGGUUAUGCCUGUUAUCUCUUCUGAGUGUAUUCUUCCCCAUCCUGCUCUAUGUGUUUUUAAUCGCACAUGUUUCUAUUUCCGUGGGGAAUAAAUAGCUCUAUUUUGCGUGCAUGUGGUUUACAUAAAUGUUGGCAUAUCACACCUAUUGUUUGCCAACUCUGGUCAUACUGUCUUGAAAAUUCAUCUGUGUUAGGAUGUAUACAGCUACCUUAUUCUAAGCAUAGCAUUGUGUUCCAUUAAAUGAAUGUAUUACAAUGUAUUUAGCUUUUCCCUACUGGUGGAUGCUUAGGUUGCUCCUGAUGUUUUCUUCUGUCCCUUUAUAAAAACAAUCUUUUAAAAUUUUGGUCAAAUUCAUGCAUAUUCAUGGCAUUAAAAAAUCAAAUAAUAUUAUAAGGUUUCUAGCAAAUGUUAGUAAUGCAACACACACA